rnacentral:misc_RNA from 1 species
CCAGCUCUCUGAGACACCUGGGUAAAGAUUGAGGAAAUGAACAGGAAGAUAAGAACAAACUUGAGCCGUAGUCAGAACUUUAAACACCCAUCAUAUAUCAACCGCCUACAUCACAUUUUCUUAUCAUAGUUAGCUAACCAGGAUAAUUGUUGCCUUUUACAACAGCAUUUUCACCUUAGAGGCUUUUAAUUUUAUUAAAUUGAAUAACUAUUUUGACAUGCAGGCAAACAAGCAAAGCCUCAAAAGGGAACCAACAAUCCAAACUAUCGAUACAUUGAUAACAAACUUAAUGCCAAUUAAAAAAGUUCUGGAAAUUUUCAGAAAAGCAGUGCAUCUGUGCUGAUGAAACAUUGAUCUUCUGAUAAUUAAAUUAAAAUAAGAGCAUCCACUGUAUUCAUUGGCUUGCCAACAGAACAAUGCUCUCUAUAUAGAUAAAGAAGCCAACACAGACAAAAACUUGCAGACUAUGAAACAACACAAAUCUGGAAAUGAAAGCAAGCAUGUGGGGCAAAAAAGGAUUUUACAAACAGCAACAAGAGGAAAAAAACAGAGCAUCACAAAAAUUUCUAAAUCACACACAUGAAAAUUAUCAAUUCAUCUAACAUGGUUGAUCUGUGAAGGAACUAUUAAUGCUCUGUGUAAGGAAAUAUCAAAGCAGAUCCGCAAGGAAUUCUACACCUUCCUGAAUUUCACCAACACCCUUGAUUAACUGAAAACCUUGACAAUCUUCCUGAAGAGUGUUUUAAUGAAAAUGGCAAUAGAUUUUUUCUACUUCUAAAAGCAAUUCUACAAGCAAUUCAAGGCAAAAACUAAAAAGCAGCCUCAUGAGGAAGUCAUAGGAACAUUCUUUUUAAGCAAGUCAAAUAAUCAACACCGCAUUAGAAUAUAACAAAAGCUAAAUAGAUAAACCCAGACCAUGAAACAUCUAAAAAAUAGAGGCGAGAACGACAAAAGUAGGAAAGAAAAGCUCACACAAUUGACCUUUUUCCCCCUUACCUACAAUUAGCAGCAAUAGCAG